UAAGCUUCAGUUACACAGGAAUCGUACCCGAAACCGACACAGGUGGUCAGGUCGAGUAGACCAAGGCGCUUGAGAGAACUCUGCUGAAGGAACUAGGCAAAAUGGUACCGUAACUUCGGGAGAAGGUACGCUGUUGUUGGUGAUGGAACUCGCUUCCUGAGCUGACGACAGCCGCAGAAACCAGGCCGCUGCAACUGUUUAUUAAAAACAUAGCACUCUGCAAACACGAAAGUGGACGUAUAGGGUGUGAUGCCUGCCCGGUGCUGGAAGGUUAAUUGAUGGGGUUAGCGUAAGCGAAGCUCUUGAUCGAAGCCCCAGUAAACGGCGGCCGUAACUAUAACGGUCCUAAGGUAGCGAAAUUCCUUGUCGGGUAAGUUCCGACCUGCACGAAUGGCAUAAUGAUGGCGGCGCUGUCUCCAGCAGAGGCUCAGUGAAAUCGAAAUCGCUGUGAAGAUGCAGUGUACCCGCGGCUAGACGGAAAGACCCCGUGAACCUUUACUGCAGCUUGACACUGAACUUUGACCUUACUUGUGUAGGAUAGGUGGGAGGCUUUGAAGCUGGAACGCUAGUUCCAGUGGAGCCGUCCUUGAAAUACCACCCUGGUAAUGUUGAGGUUCUAACUCUGUCCCGUGAUCCGGGACGAGGACCGUGUCUGGUGGGUAGUUUGACUGGGGCGGUCUCCUCCUAAAGAGUAACGGAGGAGUACGAAGGUGCGCUCAGCGUGGUCGGAAAUCACGCGUAGAGUAUAAAGGCAAAAGCGCGCUUAACUGCGAGACCCACAAGUCGAGCAGGUACGAAAGUAGGUCUUAGUGAUCCGGUGGUUCUGUAUGGAAGGGCCAUCGCUCAACGGAUAAAAGGUACUCUGGGGAUAACAGGCUGAUACCGCCCAAGAGUUCAUAUCGACGGCGGUGUUUGGCACCUCGAUGUCGGCUCAUCUCAUCCUGGGGCUGAAGCAGGUCCCAAGGGUAUGGCUGUUCGCCAUUUAAAGAGGUACGCGAGCUGGGUUUAGAACGUCGUGAGACAGUUCGGUCCCUAUCUACCGUGGGCGCUGGAAAUUUGAGAGGAUCUGCUCCUAGUACGAGAGGACCAGAGUGGACGAACCUCUGGUGUACCGGUUGUGACGCCAGUCGCAUCGCCGGGUAGCUAUGUUCGGAAGGGAUAACCGCUGAAAGCAUCUAAGCGGGAAGCCUACCUCAAGAUAAGAUUUCCCUAGGACUUUAUGUCCUCUAAAGAGCCGUUCGAGACUAGGACGUUGAUAGGUUGGAUGUGGAAGCAUAGUGAUAUGUGAAGCUGACCAAUACUAAUUGCUCGUGAGGCUUGACUAU
rnacentral:rRNA from 1 species